GUUUAUUUUCCUGCAAAUGGUAUUAAGGAUAAAUUGAUGGGUGUUUCCAUUUAAUUUAUUAUAGCUGUCAAUUCAAUAUGACUGCUGUACAGAUUAGAAAUAAAUUGUGUAAUAGUCUACAAAAGAACAGUUUAAGACAUGUACUCCAAAGUAGUCUUUAAAAUAAUUCUAGGGCUGAAAUUGUAGUUCUAUAAUAAAUUACCUCCUUAGGCUUCUAAACAUCUAGGUUUGAUGCCCAACACUGGAGUGUUUAAAGAGGAGAGGGAAAAGGAAAAGAAGUUUUUCCUGUGUUAAACAGGCAUUAGAGUCAAUGUGGAUGCUCAUGAAUGAAGGAGGGUUCAGUGUUUUGUUUGCUUGAUGAAAGGUCAAUGAGUUGAGCUCUAUAAAUUGUAUUUACCUGUAUGUGGGAAAUGUUGAGAUCUUUAGCAUUUCUUUUUCUGAACUAGUUGUCAUAUAUAGGGCACUCUUGACACCUGACAAGCCCAGUAUUUCCCAGUUUUGCCUGCUUGGUUUUGUUUUGUUUUGUUUUGUUUUGUUUUGUUUUGUUUUGUUUUGUUUUGUAGGCCUAACAUUUUAGGACAAGUAGCCCAGGGCAGAAGCCCAUAUUUUGGAUACUCGUUAUUUAAGAGACCUUGAAUUUACUUUGGGGAAUCUCUGACUGUUGCUCAUGUUUUUUGUUGCAGAUAUUGUUACGGAGCUUUAUCAAAGGAAGCCUCAUGCCACAGAACAGAAAGUGCUGGUGGUUUUAUGGCACCUCUUAGGGAAUAUGACACAUAGUGGCUCCCUGCCUGGAGCUGGUGGAAAUAUUCGAACAGCCACAGCUAAAUUAUCAAAAGCACUUUUUACCCAGAUGGGUCAGAAUCUACUAAAUCAGGCUGCAUCUCAACCACCACAUAUCAAAAAGAGUUUAGAGGAAUUACUUGAUGUGACAGUUUUAAGUGAAUUAUGAGUUUUUGAUGAACUAGUUAUGAUGAACAAUUUACUUGAUGACAGAUGAAAUCUUUUUAAACUUACAUUUUUUAUUUUGAGUGCCUGAAUUUCAUGUCCAGUAAAUUAAGUCAGGGGCUAUGUUUAUUUGCAGCCUACCUGUGAGUACAGAUCUGUCUUGAUAGCCAUCACAUGAAAACCUAAAAUAAUGAAUAUAAACUAAUAUGAAAUAUAAAAUGAUAUGAAAUCCAUGGCACCUGGGAUGAACUAAAUUUUAAAUAUUUUUUGGGAAAAAUCCUGUUCAUUUGCACUAUUCUAUAGAAACUGCAAUUUGUUGCCCCAUAUGUACAAUUAGAUUUGUAAUUAAAAAUAUACUUUUUAUUAUGUAAUCAUGUUCUGCUAUGUCUCAUUACUCUGUCUUGUUUUAUGAAGUGGAAGAAACGUCAUUUAACUGUUAUCACGAAGUCUGCGUGCUGUUUGUGAAUAACAUGUUUAAACCAUCUGCUAAUGUGAUUAUGCAGUAUUAGCUUCCUAUAGCUGCUGUGUUACUAUGAUAUAUUUGCUAAACUUUUGGGUUUGAUCAUCUGCACAAUUGUGAAAUUUAAGAGUUAUAAUAAAGCAUGAUGACCAAAGCUUAGAAAACAUUAAACAUUUGAAUGCACGUUCAAGAAACGUGUUGAAUGUAACUUUAUUUUUGUGUGCAAACACUAAAUUUUUAAUUUGUGUAUGUCUGUCCAUUUAUAAAGGUGUUAUUUUGCUGCCCAGUUGUGUAAUUCUCAAAAAUAGUGCCAGGUCUUCUAUAGUUUUUCUCAGAAUUCUUGGGCUUACAAGUACUGUAUGCAUCUUAAAGAAGAAAAGGAAUGUUUAAAAUAAAAGGAUUUAUUUCUG
rnacentral:lncRNA from 1 species